rnacentral:rRNA from 1 species
GCAUAUCAAUAAGCGGAGGAAAAGAAACUAACAAGGAUUCCCUUAGUAACGGCGAGUGAAGCGGGAAGAGCUCAAAUUUGAAAUCUUCAAGGUUCUACCUUGACGAAUUGUAGUUUAAAGAAGUGUUUUCUGUUAGAUGAGUAGCAAAAGUUCCUUGGAAUGGGACAUCAUAGAGGGUGAGAAUCCCGUAUUUGGUUAUUCAUUCUAGCUUUGUGAUACACUUUCAAAGAGUCGGAUUGUUUGGGAAUGCAGUCCAAAAUGGGUGGUAAAUUUCAUCUAAAGCUAAAUAUUGGCGAGAGACCGAUAGCGAACAAGUACCGUGAGGGAAAGAUGAAAAGAACUUUGAAAAGAGAGUUAAACAGUACGUGAAAUUGUCAAAAGGGAAGCGUUUGACACCAGUGUUGUUUUUCCGAAAAUCAAUUACGAAUGGCUUGAUUUUGUGUUGUAUUGACCUUAUCAGCUUUCUGCACUUUUUUCGAGUCUUUCUUAAUGCACUUUUCGGUUAACAAGUCAACACCAAUUUCUUUUGUUGUAAAAGAGUAUUCGGAAGGUGGCUUUCUUUUCGGAGAAAGUGUUUAUAGCCCUAUACUUCUACAAUCGGAGAGAUUGAGGUCUGCAGCGUAGAUCCUUCGGGGUUAGAUACACUUGUGCUAAGUUGUAGCUUUUCAUAGACAACUUGUUGACUAUGUUUAGUCAUGCGGCUUACUCGCUUGUGCUAUUUUACCUACGCUUAGGAUGUUGACAAAAUGGUUUUAAACGACCCGUCUUGAAACACGGACC